rnacentral:rRNA from 1 species
UACGGAGGGUGCGAGCGUUAAUCGGAAUUACUGGGCGUAAAGCGCACGCAGGCGGUUUGUUAAGCAAGAUGUGAAAGCCCCGGGCUCAACCUGGGAACUGCAUUUUGAACUGGCAGACUAGAUCUUGGAGAGGGGGGUGGAAUUCCAGGUGUAGCGGUGAAAUGCGUAGAGAUCUGGAGGAACGUCAGUGGCGAAGGCGGCCCCUGGCCAAAGCACUGACGCUCAUGGUGCAAAGUGUAGGGUAGCGGAACAGGAUUAGAUACCCGUGUAGUCC